ACUUUUGGGAGCUUGCUCCCAAAAGUUAGCGGCGGACGGGUGAGUAACACGUGGGCAACCUGCCUAUAAGACUGGGAUAACUUCGGGAAACCGGAGCUAAUACCGGAUAAUUCCUUUCCUCUCAUGAGGAAAGGUUGAAAGACGGUUUCGACUGUCACUUAUAGAUGGGCCCGCGGCGCAUUAGCUAGUUGGUGAGGUAAUGGCUCACCAAGGCGACGAUGCGUAGCCGACCUGAGAGGGUGAUCGGCCACACUGGGACUGAGACACGGCCCAGACUCUUACGGGAGGCAGGAGAGGGACCCACUCCUACGGGAGGCAGCAGUGGGGCUCCUACGGUUUUCAGCAGUGGAGACCUACGGGAGGCAGCUUUCCGAUCUG
rnacentral:sRNA from 1 species